UACGUAGGGGGCAAGCGUUGUCCGGAAUUACUGGGCGUAAAGAGCUCGUAGGUGGUUUGUCGCGUUGUUCGUGAAAUCUCACGGCUUAACUGUGAGCGUGCGGGCGAUACGGGCAGACUAGAGUACUGCAGGGGAGACUGGAAUUCCUGGUGUAGCGGUGGAAUGCGCAGAUAUCAGGAGGAACACCGGUGGCGAAGGCGGGUCUCUGGGCAGUAACUGACGCUGAGGAGCGAAAGCGUGGGGAGCGAACAGG
rnacentral:rRNA from 1 species